AUUGAACGCUGGCGGCAUGCCUUACGCAUGCAAGUCGAACGGUAACAGGUCUUCGGAUGCUGACGAGUGGCGAACGGGUGAGUAAUGCAUCGGAACGUGCCCAGUAGUGGGGGAUAGCCCGGCGAAAGCCGGAUUAAUACCGCAUACGACCUGAGGGUGAAAGGGGGGGAUCGCAAGACCUCUCGCUAUUGGAGCGGCCGAUGUCAGAUUAGCUAGUUGGUGGGGUAAAGGCCUACCAAGGCAACGAUCUGUAGUUGGUCUGAGAGGACGACCAGCCACACUGGGACUGAGAAACGGCCCAGACUCCUACGGGAGGCAGCAGUGGGGAAUUUUGGACAAUGGGCGCAAGCCUGAUCCAGCAAUGCCGCGUGCAGGAAGAAGGCCUUCGGGUUGUAAACUGCUUUUGUCAGGGAAGAAAUCUUCUGGGUUAAUACCUCGGGAGGAUGACGGUACCUGAAGAAUAAGCACCGGCUAACUACGUGCCAGCAGCCGCAGUAACAC
rnacentral:rRNA from 1 species